CCUACGGGAGGCAGCAGUGGGGAAUCUUGCGCAAUGGGCGAAAGCCUGACGCAGCAACGCCGCGUGCGGGAAGAAGGCCUUAGGGUUGUAAACCGCUUUCAGUAGGAGCGAAAAUGACGGUACCUGCAGAAGAAGGUGCGGCCAACUACGUGCCAGCAGCCGCGGUGACACGUAGGCACCAAGCGUUGUCCGGAUUUAUUGGGCGUAAAGAGCUCGUAGGCGGUUCAGUAAGUCGGGUGUGAAAACUCUGGGCUUAACCCAGAGCCGCCACUCGAUACUGCUGUGACUUGAGUUCGGUAGGGGAGCAGGGAAUUCCUAGUGUAGCGGUGAAAUGCGCAGAUAUUAGGAGGAACACCGGUGGCGAAGGCGCUGCUCUGGGCCGAUACUGACGCUGAGGAGCGAAAGCGUGGGUAGCAAACAGGAUUAGAUACCCUGGUAGUCCACGCCGUAAACGUUGGGCACUAGGUGUGGGUUCCAACCAACGGAAUCCGCGCCGUCGCUAACGCAUUAAGUGCCCCGCCUGGGGAGUACGGCGGCACGCUAAACCUUAAAGGAAUUGACGG
rnacentral:rRNA from 1 species